UGACCCGACCAGAGGACGGGCUCUGACCUCUGACCUCCCACCUGGAGCCCCAUGUGACCCGGCCAGAGGACGGGCUCCUGAUCAACUCUCAUCAUCACAUCACUCAUGAUCACCGAACGUCGUGUCCAGGAAUGUUUUAAUAAAGCGCAGAGAGCAGAACACUGGGACUCCUGUGAGCUCAUUACACCAAACAUACUCAACGCCUUUAGUUCCAGCUCGUUUUCAUCUACAAGCUUCAGUUAAAACCCCUAAAUAGCAUCGCUCGGGUACAUUGGAACUCCACUGAAAAGGUGACGACUGAUUAGUGACUUUUCCUUUGUUUUUCCUGACCUUCCAAGCCCACUAAGACAGACUUCCAGUGGUGUUGUGAGAUAAAACACAAAGUCUUCGAUAAGGUGAAGAGAAGAUUCAGUUAAGCCUUUAAAAUGUGUUUUCAAGACUAUUUAAAUGAGUACCUAACAGCUGGCAGUGGUCCCUAUUUUCCAAAGCCUACUCUCCUGUGCUUCUGCUGUGCUGCCGAACCAGCAGAUUAUGCAGAAGGUACAGACACUCUCCACAUAAGAAGUGCAGAACAUCUUAGCCAUUUUGCAGUCUACAUCAAAUGGACCGAAUUAAAGCCUUUGCUGUCCUUUU